AGAGUUUGAUCAUGGCUCAGAAUNNCGCUGGCGGCGCGCCUAACACAUGCAAGUCGAACGAGAAAGUGGAGCAAUCCAUGAGUACAGUGGCGUACGGGUGAGUAACACGUGGGUGAUCUACCUCUUAGUGAGGAAUAACCCUGGGAAACCGGGGCUAAUACCGCAUAAGCCUGAGAAGGGAAAGCAGCAAUGCGCUGAGAGAGGAGCCCGCGGCCGAUUAGCUAGUUGGUGAGGUAAAAGCCCACCAAGGCAGAGAUCGGUAGCCGGCCUGAGAGGGCACACGGCCACACUGGCACUGAAACACGGGCCAGACUCCUACGGGAGGCAGCAGUGGGGAAUCUUGCACAAUGGGGGAAACCCUGAUGCAGCGACGCCGCGUGAGCGAUGAAGCCCUUCGGGGUGUAAAGCUCUUUCGUCAGGGAAGAUUAUGACGGUACCUGGAGAAGCAGCUGCGGCUAACUACGUGCCAGCAGCCGCGGCAAUACGUAGGCAGCAAGCGUUGUUCGGAGUUACUGGGCGUAAAGGGUGUGUAGGCGGUUCUUUAAGUUUGGUGUGAAAUCUCCCGGCUCAACCGGGAGGGUGCGCCGAAUACUGAGGGACUAGAGUGUGGGAGAGGAAAGUGGAAUUCCUGGUGUAGCGGUGAAAUGCGUAGAUAUCAGGAGGAACACCGGUGGUGUAGACGGCUUUCUGGACCAUAACUGACGCUGAGACACGAAAGCGUGGGUAGCAAACAGGAUUAGAUACCCUGGUAGUCCACGCCCUAAACGAUGCAUAUUUGGUGUGGGUCAUUCA
rnacentral:rRNA from 1 species